rnacentral:rRNA from 1 species
UACGAAGGGGGCUAGCGUUGCUCGGAAUCACUGGGCGUAAAGGGUGCGUAGGCGGGUUUUUAAGUCAGGGGUGAAAUCCUGGAGCUCAACUCCAGAACUGCCUUUGAUACUGAAGAUCUUGAGUUCGGGAGAGGUGAGUGGAACUGCGAGUGUAGAGGUGAAAUUCGUAGAUAUUCGGAAGAACACCUGUGGCGAAGGCGACUCACUGGACACGUAUUGACGCUGAGGUGCGAAAGCGUGGGGAGCAAACAGG